rnacentral:rRNA from 1 species
AGAAGACGACGAUGGUGAUGGGAGUGGGCGCGUGCCUAACCGUCGUCAAUGAGGUCUUUAAAACUCCCCGAGUGUCCGGCCUACACAAACAGAGGGCGGCCAGGCCACCGCUAGAGAUACUCCCAUAAUUGCCUGCCCAAUCAGCCUGCCAAUUCUCGUUUGUUAUAAUCUGGUCGUUUUGUUUAGGCGUGAUAAUCCUUCUAUUUUUAUAUUCAUUCAGAUCUAACCUAGUAAUGGAGUAGUAACGUAAAUCUCCUUGGCGUGCCGAGAGCCGAUCAGCCCACACGCAUCUGCCUUCCUUCCCGGCUAGCAGCUAUAUAUCGACCGACCAAUCGAUCGUGUUCAAGACCUCGCAACCUCUGCUCCCUGGUUCCGUUCGUUUGGUUCCAAACUUCCAAUUCAGCCCAAAGGUACGUCUUUUGUAGUAGUAUAAGAGAGAUUUCAUCGUCAAUCUUCAGGUAUCCUCGAUAAUUUCGUUGCGUAUCCGGUCCGGAAAUCGCGUGCGUAUUCUCGUACGGGGUUUGUUACCGAUUCUGAUGCCCUGCCCUCAACAAACUUUAAAAAAUCAGACCCAAUCCCAUCCGCAGGGCAGAGGGCAGGGCGAUGAAGUACAGCAAGGAGGCCAAGCCCGAGAGGGCGGGCGGCGGCGGCGGCGGCGCCAGGGCCGUGCCGGUGGCGCUCAUGCUCCUCCUCCUCUGCGGCUUCUCCUUCUACCUCGGCGGCAUGUACAGCACCGGCCGCACCUUCACCUUCUCCUCCACCACCACCAGCAUCAUCCCCAUCGUCUCCACGGCGAAGCAGGAGGGCUCCGCGAUCGCGCUCGCCAUUGCCAGGAACGGCAACGGCGACGACGAGGUCGAGUUUUCAGAGUGCCCCGCUGAUUACCAGGACUACACCCCCUGCACCGACCCCAAGCGCUGGAGGAGGUACGGGAACUACCGGCUCAGCUUCAUGGAGCGGCACUGCCCGCCGCCGCCGGAGCGCGCCGUCUGCCUGGUGCCCCCGCCGCGGGGCUACAAGCCGCCCAUCCGCUGGCCCAAGAGCAAGGACCAGUGCUGGUACCGCAACGUGCCCUACGACUGGAUCAACAGCCAGAAGUCCAACCAGCACUGGCUCCGCAAGGACGGCGACCGCUUCACCUUCCCCGGCGGCGGCACCAUGUUCCCCAACGGCGUCGGCGCGUACGUCGACCUCAUGGCCGACCUGAUCCCCGGCAUGAAGGACGGCAGCGUGCGCACCGCGCUCGACACGGGCUGCGGCGUCGCCAGCUGGGGCGGCGACCUGCUGGCCCGCAACAUCCUGACCGUGUCGCUGGCGCCCAGGGACAACCACGAGGCCCAGGUGCAGUUCGCGCUGGAGCGCGGCAUCCCGGCCAUCCUCGGCAUCAUCUCCACGCAGCGCCUGCCCAUCCCCUCGGCCUCCAUGGACAUGGCGCACUGCUCCAGGUGCCUCAUCCCGUGGACGGAGUUCGGCGGGCUCUACCUGAUGGAGAUCCAGCGGGUGCUCCGGCCCGGCGGCUUCUGGGUGCUCUCGGGCCCGCCCAUCAACUACGAGAACCGGUGGCACGGCUGGAACACCACGGUGGAGGCGCAGAAAGCCGACUUCGACCGGCUCAAGAAGAUGCUCGCCAGCAUGUGCUUCCGGCUGUACAACAAGAAGGGCGACAUCGCGGUGUGGCAGAAGUCCCUCGACGCCGGCUGCUACGACAAGCUGACGCCGGUGACCACCCCGGCCAAGUGCGACGACAGCGUCGACGCCGACGCCGCGUGGUACGUGCCCAUGCGCUCCUGCGUGACCGCGCCCAGCCCCAAGUCCCGCGGCAAGGCGCUGCCCAAGUGGCCCCAGAGGCUGAGCGUCGCGCCGGAGCGCGUCUCCGUUGUCCCCGGCGGCAGCGGCAGCGCCAUGAAGCACGACGACGGCAAGUGGAAGGCGGCCACGAAGCACUACAAGGCGCUGCUGCCCGCGCUGGGGAGCGACAAGGUGCGGAACGUCAUGGACAUGAGCGCCGUCUACGGAGGGUUCGCGGCGAGCCUCGUCAAGGACCCCGUGUGGGUCAUGAACGUCGUCUCCUCCUACGGGCCCAACUCCCUCGGCGUCGUCUACGACAGAGGACUCAUCGGCACCAACCACGACUGGUGCGAGGCCUUCUCCACGUACCCACGGACGUACGAUCUGCUGCACGCCGACGGCCUGUUCACCGCAGAAUCACACAGAUGCGAGAUGAAAUUUGUGCUUGUUGAGAUGGACCGCAUCCUUCGUCCGACCGGCUACGCCAUCAUCCGGGACAACCCCUACUUCCUCGACUCCGUGGCCUCCAUCGCCAAGGGGAUGAGAUGGACCUGCGACAGGCACGACACCGAGAACAAGGAGAAUGAGAAGGAGAAGCUCCUCAUCUGCCACAAGCAGCUCUGGUCGGCAAAGAAGGCAUAGCUGCGAACCAGCAGUCUCAGUGACAGGAAUUGACCAUGAUCCCACGGAAAGGCGAGGGCGAUUCAUAGUCGACACUUUGAUAGAACAAGGGGGGGUUCAUAGUCAUCAAAAUAAACUACAUGAGUAAUAUAAAUAUAGUUUUAUCAUAUUCAUAUAUAGGAGGAUCCAAUAGUUAGCUAUUGAUCACACAACAGUUGAUUCUUUUUCUUUGCGGAAGAACCAGGGGAGGUAAAGUUUGGUGAGUCACCUGUAAGUUGUUAUCCGAAUACUGUAUGCAUGUCCUAUAGCUAGUCGGUACUGUGAUUGUAAUCGAGCAAUCAAGCGGGGUGGCUAUAAAUAUUAUUUAUUCAAAUAUUUAUGGAGCACGAAGUGAUAGUGAUGCAGUGUCAUUCCUUGCCC